GAGAAUCAAUAAGAAAGUCCAACUCUUCACCGGAGAUUUUUCUUCCCACACCCGUUAAAGAGAAUGGAGACAGCAAGGGCUUCACCGUAACGAGUGAGAGGAAGGAGUUGAAUCGGUUGAGAAAGAGAGAAACUUGAAGAGUGACGGUGAGAUUUAGGGCAAAAAGGUGAUAAUUUUCGCCGGAAAGAUGACGCAACAGAGAAACUUGUUUACUCUGGUCGCCGCUUUUUUUCCUCUACCUCCCCUUGUUCAUA